UACGGGGGGGCAAGCGUUGUUCGGAAUUACUGGGCGUAAAGGGCUCGUAGGCGGCCAACUAAGUCAGACGUGAAAUCCCUCGGCUUAACCGGGGAACUGCGUUUGAUACUGGAUGGCUUGAGUUUGGGAGAGGGAUGCGGAAUUCCAGGUGUAGCGGUGAAAUGGCGUAGAUAUCUGGAAGGAACACCGGUGGCGAAGGCGGCAUCCUGGACCAACACUGACGCUGAGUGAGCGAAAGCCAGGGGAGCAACGGGAU
rnacentral:rRNA from 1 species